CCGGUGGGACGUAUCACUAAGACCAUGCCUGGGAUCGAUGGUCGCGUUAGAUCAGUAGAGAUCCAGGUAAAGAACCGAACAUAUAUUAGGCCAGUUGCUCGACUAAUUCCUCUCCCUGAGAUGACGGAGGACGGGGAGCAAUGAGCCUUUCUGAGGAGUGUGGAAUUUAACAAAUUUCCAGGGUGGCUGUAGAAAAGGCCCAUGGAGUUGGUGGAAUAAUCCUUUAAUUCAUGGCCACUUACUCAGCUGGGCCAGAGCGCUUUAAUUAGGUCAGGUGGCAAUGACCGACAGAUCUCAUCCACAUAAAAGGAGGAAAACGGCAUCGCCUGAUCUCGCUGCUUUCUCUUCCUUAACUCCGUCUGCUCCAGAAGUUCUGUGCGUCCAUGAAUCCACCACAGACUACUCAGUAAAUAUACCACUUUAUGGUUAAAGGAA